UAACACAUGCAAGUCGAGCGGCAGCGGAAAGUAGCUUGCUACUUUGCCGGCGAGCGGCGGACGGGUGAGUAAUGUCUGGGAAACUGCCUGAUGGAGGGGGAUAACUACUGGAAACGGUAGCUAAUACCGCAUAACGUCNCAAGACCAAAGAGGGGGACCUUCGGGCCUCUUGCCAUCAGAUGUGCCCAGAUGGGAUUAGCUAGUAGGUGGGGUAACGGCUCACCUAGGCGACGAUCCCUAGCUGGUCUGAGAGGAUGACCAGCCACACUGGAACUGAGACACGGUCCAGACUCCUACGGGAGGCAGCAGUGGGGAAUAUUGCACAAUGGGCGCAAGCCUGAUGCAGCCAUGCCGCGUGUAUGAAGAAGGCCUUCGGGUUGUUAAGUACUUUCAGCGGGGAGGAAGGUGUUGUGGUUAAUAACCACAGCAAUUGACGUUACCCGCAGAAGAAGCACCGGCUAACUCCGUGCCAGCAGCCGCGGUAAUA
rnacentral:rRNA from 1 species